rnacentral:rRNA from 1 species
UCUUGGUCAUUUAGAGGAAGUAAAAGUCGUAACAAGGUUUCCGUAGGUGAACCUGCGGAAGGAUCAUUAAUGAAAUGUUUGUCGAGAAGGGUUGUAGCUGGCCUCCAGGGGCAUGUGCACACCCUGAUCGCAUCCACCUCCCACACCUGUGCACUGCCUGUAGCUUGGGAUGAUCACGGAGCCCUGAUGGGGUGACGAAUGCCCUCGUCUAUGAAUAUUUUCACACACGCUCAAAGUAUGACAGAAUGUACAUCAUAUCGCGUCUGAUAAACGUGACAAAUACAACUUUCAACAACGGAUCUCUUGGCUCUCGCAUCGAUGAAGAACGCAGCGAAAUGCGAUAAGUAAUGUGAAUUGCAGAAUUCAGUGAAUCAUCGAAUCUUUGAACGCACCUUGCGCUCCUUGGUAUUCCGAGGAGCAUGCCUGUUUGAGUGUCAUGAAAUUCUCAACUGCUCCCAGGCUUUGUGGCCUGCGGGUGAAGUUGGACUUGGGGGCAUGCUGGCGCGCAUGAAUGGGCUUUGUGCCCUGCUGUGCUUGUUGGCUCCUCUUGAAUGCAUGAGCUUUCCAAUCCUUGGCAAAGUAUCGUCGAUGUGAUAAUUAUCUGCGUCGCCCGAGAAAGCCUAAAAGGGGAAAUCUUCAAUCACGUUGGGUUGACCCACGUCUGACAAAUUCGACCUCAAAUCAGGUAGGACUACCCGCUGAACUUAAGCAUAUCAAUAAGCGGAGGA